GUAUCUUCGGAUAUGAGUAGAGCGGCGGACGGGUGAGUAACGCGUAGGAAUCUACCUAGUAGAAGGGGAUAGCCCGGGGAAACCCGGAUUAAUACCGUAUACCUCCUUUGGGAGAAAGAAGGCCUCUCUUUGAAGCUUUCGCUACUAGAUGAGCCUGCGUAAGAUUAGCUUGUUGGUGAGGUAAAGGCUCACCAAGGCGACGAUCUUUAGCUGGUCUGAGAGGACGAUCAGCCACAUUGGGACUGAGACACGGCCCAGACUCCUACGGGAGGCAGCAGUGGGGAAUAUUGGACAAUGGGCGCAAGCCUGAUCCAGCCAUACCGCGUGUGUGAAGAAGGCCUUCGGGUUGUAAAGCACUUUAAGCAGGGAGAAAAAGUUAUAAGUUAAUACCUUAUAACCCUGAUGUUACCUGCAGAAUAAGCACCGGCUAAUUCCGUGCCAGCAGCCGCGGUAAUACGGAAGGUGCAAGCGUUAAUCGGAAUUACUGGGCGUAAAGCGCGCGUAGGUGGUUUGUUAAGUUGGAUGUGAAAGCCCUGGGCUCAACCUAGGAACUGCAUCCAAAACUAACUCACUAGAGUACGAUAGAGGGAGGUAGAAUUCAUAGUGUAGCGGUGGAAUGCGUAGAUAUUAUGAAGAAUACCAGUGGCGAAGGCGGCCUCCUGGAUCUGUACUGACACUGAGGUGCGAAAGCGUGGGUAGCGAACAGGAUUAGAUACCCUGGUAGUCCACGCCGUAAACGAUGACAACUAGCUGUUGGGAGACAAUGUCUUUCAGUGGCGCAGCUAACG
rnacentral:rRNA from 1 species